AAGAUUUGUAUCGGGCGCAUUCGAGAUCACGCGUUUAAACUUCGAAGUUUGGUAGAGAAUAGAAGCAAUCCAACGCCGAGUUCAAGAUGUCUGGUAGAGCCGGUAAUUAAAUACAUUAGAAAUUUAUGUUAUAGGCUUUAUUGUCAAACAAUGGAUUGGAUUAGUUUUUAUUAAAUUAUCUUAUUAUUCUCGUAGUAGGUGGGAAGAAGAAGCCACUGAAGGCUCCAAAGAAAGAUGCCAAGGACAUGGAUGAUGAGGACAAAGCCUUCCAUCAAAAGCAGAAAGAAGAAGCCAAGGCCCUGAAGGAGAU
rnacentral:lncRNA from 1 species